rnacentral:lncRNA from 1 species
GAGGGAAGGGUUUUGAAUAGCCUGCAUGAACGUUGUCGUAUCUCAGUUAAAUAUGUCAAUUGCGAAUUUUAACACAUUGUAGUUUUGAUGUAUAACAACAUGUGCAUCAUUUAAUAGUUUGAAAGUGUUUUAAGUUGAUUAGAUAUAUAAAAUGCAUUAGUUAUCUCGUUUGAAAUGUUUUACAUUGUCAUUUCGGGGCCUUUUAUAGCUGACUAUGCGGUAUUGGAUUUCCUCAUUGUUGAAGGCUGUACGGUUAUAGUUGUUCAUUUUUGUGUCAUUUUU